AGCGAACGCUGGCGGCAGGCUUAACACAUGCAAGUCGAACGCAUCCUUCGGGGGUGAGUGGCAGACGGGUGAGUAACACGUGGGAACGUACCCUUCGAUCUGGGAUAACUUCGGGAAACUGGAGCUAAUACCGGAUACGCCCUUUUGGGGAAAGGUUUACUGUCGAAGGAUCGGCCCGCGUCUGAUUAGCUAGUUGGUGGGGUAACGGCCUACCAAGGCGACGAUCAGUAGCCUGGUCUGAGAGGAUGAUCAGCCCACACUGGGACUGAGACACGGCCCAGACUCCUACGGGAGGCAG
rnacentral:rRNA from 1 species